rnacentral:rRNA from 1 species
UAACUGAAGAGUUUGAUCAUGGCUCAGAUUGAACGCUGGCGGCAGGCUUAACACAUGCAAGUCGAG